AUGAAUGAACAACUGCAAAAAGAGUAUACGACCGCAGAAGUCAAGAAGGCCUUAUUUGAUAUGGCCCCUUCAAAGGCUCCGGGCGUGGACGGCUUUACAGCUGGAUUUUACCAACGGCAUUGGGAUGUGCUAGGCGAAGAUAUCUCACGUGAUGUGUUGGAUUUCUUGAACGGUGGAGAAUUACCGUUUGGUCUAAAUGACACCUCGAUCACGUUGAUACCCAAGGUUCGGAAUCCCCAGAGGAUUUCCCAGUUUCGCCCUAUCGCUCUAUGUCCGGUCUUAUAUAAAAUUGCUGCCAAGGCGAUAGCAAACAGGGUGCGACUGAUUCUUGAUGAAGUUAUUGGCGAGGAACAGAGCGCUUUCAUCCCGGGGCGGUUGAUCAUCGAGAAUGUGCUCGUUGCCUACGAAAGUGUCCACACUAUCAGAAGGAGGAAAAGAGGCAAAAACUCGUGUUGCGCUGUCAAACUUGACAUGCUGAAAGCCUAUGAUAGGGUGGAGUGGCAUUACCUAGAAGCCAUGAUGAGCAAGCUAGGUUUCAAUGCUAGUUUUAUCAGUCUAGUGAUGAAAUGCGUGACUUCUGUCAGAUUCACGAUUAAGGUCAAUGGCGAGCUCUUACCAUUCUUUGAUCCAUCCAGAGGUCUCCGCCAAGGAUGCCCAUUGUCACCUUACUUAUUUCUCAUCUGCACUCAAGGACUAACAUCAUUGUUAAAUCAUUUUGGUGGCCCGCAGAUUGACAGAGGAAUCCGGGUUAGUUUCAACUCACCUUGGGUAUCUCAUUUAUUGUUCGCUGACGACAGUUUAAUCUUCCUGAGUGCAAAUGUUCAGAGUGCCCUCAGACUGAACAACGUUCUUCAGAUUUAUGCUGACUGUUCGGGACAAGCUGUUAACCGGGAGAAGAGUUCUAUCUUUUUCAGCGGUAACACAGAUGCAACUGUUCAUGGAGAGUUGAAGCGCAUCCUUGGCAUUGCAGUUUAAGCGUUUUCAGAGCGCUACUUGGGCUUACCAACUGCAGUUGGCCGAAUCACAAGCGGCUCGUUUGAGCACAUCAUUGAGAGGAGCGGGAAAAUGCAAGGAUGGUCCGAACGGAAUAUGGCUUGUGCUGCACGCGAAGUCCUGCUCAAAUCCAUCACACAAUCAAUUCCGACGUUCAGUAUGAGUUGUUUCUUGUUGACAAAGAAGGUAUGUAAGGGGUUAACCUCUGUCAUGGCCAAGUAUUGAUGGGAAAGCUCUUUGGACAAGCGAUCCCUUCACUGGGUUUCCUGGAAGAAUCUUGCAACACCCAAAGCAAAGGGCGGGAUGGGCUUCAAAGACUUACAUCUUUUUAAUCUUGCCAUGUUGGGGAAGCAAGGAUGGCGUUUGAUCACCCAUCCGGAUUCCUUAUGCUCCAAAGUUUUAAAGGGGAAGUAG
rnacentral:rRNA from 1 species